rnacentral:rRNA from 1 species
UACGAAGGGGGCUAGCGUUGCUCGGAAUGACUGGGCGUAAAGGGCGCGUAGGCGGACGGCUUUGUCGGGCGUGAAAUUCCAGGGCUUAACCUUGGGUGUGCGUUCGAGACGGGUUGUCUUGAGUUUGGAAGAGGGUCGUGGAAUUCCCAGUGUAGAGGUGAAAUUCGUAGAUAUUCGCAAGAACACCAGUGGCGAAGGCGGCUCACUGGCCCGGUACUGACGCUGAGGUGCGAAAGCGUGGGGAGCAAACAGG